rnacentral:rRNA from 1 species
CCUACGGGGGGCAGCAGUGGGGAAUAUUGCACAAUGGGCGCAAGCCUGAUGCAGCCAUGCCGCGUGUGUGAAGAAGGCCUUCGGGUUGUAAAGCACUUUCAGCGGGGAGGAAGGCGUUAAGGUUAAUAACCUUGUCGAUUGACGUUACCCGCAGAAGAAGCACCGGCUAACUCCGUGCCAGCAGCCGCGGUAAUACGGAGGGUGCAAGCGUUAAUCGGAAUUACUGGGCGUAAAGCGCACGCAGGCGGUCUGUCAAGUCGGAUGUGAAAUCCCCGGGCUCAACCUGGGAACUGCAUUCGAAACUGGCAGGCUAGAGUCUUGUAGAGGGGGGUAGAAUUCCAGGUGUAGCGGUGAAAUGCGCAGAGAUCUGGAGGGAUACCGGUGGCGAAGGCGGCCCCCUGGACAAAGACUGACGCUCAGGUGCGAAAGCGUGGGGAGCAAACAGGAUUAGAUACCCGAGUAGUC